GGUUAAGCGACUAAGCGUACACGGUGGAUGCCCUGGCAGUCAGAGGCGAUGAAGGACGUGCUAAUCUGCGAUAAGCGUCGGUAAGGUGAUAUGAACCGUUAUAACCGGCGAUUUCCGAAUGGGGAAACCCAGUGUGUUUCGACACACUAUCAUUAACUGAAUCCAUAGGUUAAUGAGGCGAACCGGGGGAACUGAAACAUCUAAGUACCCCGAGGAAAAGAAAUCAACCGAGAUUCCCCCAGUAGCGGCGAGCGAACGGGGAGCAGCCCAGAGCCUGAAUCAGUGUGUGUGUUAGUGGAAGCGUCUGGAAAGGCGCGCGAUACAGGGUGACAGCCCCGUACACAAAAAUGCACAUGCUGUGAGCUCGAUGAGUAGGGCGGGACACGUGGUAUCCUGUCUGAAUAUGGGGGGACCAUCCUCCAAGGCUAAAUACUCCUGACUGACCGAUAGUGAACCAGUACCGUGAGGGAAAGGCGAAAAGAACCCCGGCGAGGGGAGUGAAAAAGAACCUGAAACCGUGUACGUACAAGCAGUGGGAGCACGCUUAGGCGUGUGACUGCGUACCUUUUGUAUAAUGGGUCAGCGACUUAUAUUCUGUAGCAAGGUUAACCGAAUAGGGGAGCCGAAGGGAAACCGAGUCUUAACUGGGCGUUAAGUUGCAGGGUAUAGACCCGAAACCCGGUGAUCUAGCCAUGGGCAGGUUGAAGGUUGGGUAACACUAACUGGAGGACCGAACCGACUAAUGUUGAAAAAUUAGCGGAUGACUUGUGGCUGGGGGUGAAAGGCCAAUCAAACCGGGAGAUAGCUGGUUCUCCCCGAAAGCUAUUUAGGUAGCGCCUCGUGAAUUCAUCUCCGGGGGUAGAGCACUGUUUCGGCAAGGGGGUCAUCCCGACUUACCAACCCGAUGCAAACUGCGAAUACCGGAGAAUGUUAUCACGGGAGACACACGGCGGGUGCUAACGUCCGUCGUGAAGAGGGAAACAACCCAGACCGCCAGCUAAGGUCCCAAAGUCAUGGUUAAGUGGGAAACGAUGUGGGAAGGCCCAGACAGCCAGGAUGUUGGCUUAGAAGCAGCCAUCAUUUAAAGAAAGCGUAAUAGCUCACUGGUCGAGUCGGCCUGCGCGGAAGAUGUAACGGGGCUAAACCAUGCACCGAAGCUGCGGCAGCGACGCUGAUGCGUUGUUGGGUAGGGGAGCGUUCUGUAAGCCUGUGAAGGUGUGCUGUGAGGCAUGCUGGAGGUAUCAGAAGUGCGAAUGCUGACAUAAGUAACGAUAAAGCGGGUGAAAAGCCCGCUCGCCGGAAGACCAAGGGUUCCUGUCCAACGUUAAUCGGGGCAGGGUGAGUCGACCCCUAAGGCGAGGCCGAAAGGCGUAGUCGAUGGGAAACAGGUUAAUAUUCCUGUACUUGGUGUUACUGCGAAGGGGGGACGGAGAAGGCUAUGUUGGCCGGGCGACGGUUGUCCCGGUUUAAGCGUGUAGGCUGGUUUUCCAGGCAAAUCCGGAAAAUCAAGGCUGAGGCGUGAUGACGAGGCACUACGGUGCUGAAGCAACAAAUGCCCUGCUUCCAGGAAAAGCCUCUAAGCAUCAGGUAACAUCAAAUCGUACCCCAAACCGACACAGGUGGUCAGGUAGAGAAUACCAAGGCGCUUGAGAGAACUCGGGUGAAGGAACUAGGCAAAAUGGUGCCGUAACUUCGGGAGAAGGCACGCUGAUAUGUAGGUGAAGUCCCUCGCGGAUGGAGCUGAAAUCAGUCGAAGAUACCAGCUGGCUGCAACUGUUUAUUAAAAACACAGCACUGUGCAAACACGAAAGUGGACGUAUACGGUGUGACGCCUGCCCGGUGCCGGAAGGUUAAUUGAUGGGGUCAGCGCAAGCGAAGCUCUUGAUCGAAGCCCCGGUAAACGGCGGCCGUAACUAUAACGGUCCUAAGGUAGCGAAAUUCCUUGUCGGGUAAGUUCCGACCUGCACGAAUGGCGUAAUGAUGGCCAGGCUGUCUCCACCCGAGACUCAGUGAAAUUGAACUCGCUGUGAAGAUGCAGUGUACCCGCGGCAAGACGGAAAGACCCCGUGAACCUUUACUAUAGCUUGACACUGAACAUUGAGCCUUGAUGUGUAGGAUAGGUGGGAGGCUUUGAAGUGUGGACGCCAGUCUGCAUGGAGCCGACCUUGAAAUACCACCCUUUAAUGUUUGAUGUUCUAACGUUGACCCGUGAUCCGGGUUGCGGACAGUGUCUGGUGGGUAGUUUGACUGGGGCGGUCUCCUCCUAAAGAGUAACGGAGGAGCACGAAGGUUGGCUAAUCCUGGUCGGACAUCAGGAGGUUAGUGCAAUGGCAUAAGCCAGCUUGACUGCGAGCGUGACGGCGCGAGCAGGUGCGAAAGCAGGUCAUAGUGAUCCGGUGGUUCUGAAUGGAAGGGCCAUCGCUCAACGGAUAAAAGGUACUCCGGGGAUAACAGGCUGAUACCGCCCAAGAGUUCAUAUCGACGGCGGUGUUUGGCACCUCGAUGUCGGCUCAUCACAUCCUGGGGCUGAAGUAGGUCCCAAGGGUAUGGCUGUUCGCCAUUUAAAGUGGUACGCGAGCUGGGUUUAGAACGUCGUGAGACAGUUCGGUCCCUAUCUGCCGUGGGCGCUGGAGAACUGAGGGGGGCUGCUCCUAGUACGAGAGGACCGGAGUGGACGCAUCACUGGUGUUCGGGUUGUCAUGCCAAUGGCACUGCCCGGUAGCUAAAUGCGGAAGAGAUAAGUGCUGAAAGCAUCUAAGCACGAAACUUGCCCCGAGAUGAGUUCUCCCUGACCCUUUAAGGGUCCUGAAGGAACGUUGAAGACGACGACGUUGAUAGGCCGGGUGUGUAAGCGCAGCGAUGCGUUGAGCUAACCGGUACUAAUGAACCGUGAGGCUUAACCUU
rnacentral:rRNA from 1 species